UGGGGAAUAUUGGACAAUGGGCGAAAGCCUGAUCCAGCCAUGCCGCGUGUGUGAAGAAGGUCUUCGGAUUGUAAAGCACUUUAAGUUGGGAGGAAGGGCCAUUACCUAAUACGUGAUGGUUUUGACGUUACCGACGAGAAUAAGCACCGGCUAACUCUGUGCCAGCAGCCGCGGUAAUACAGAGGGUGCAAGCGUUAAUCGGAAUUACUGGGCGUAAAGCGCGCGUAGGUGGUUUGUUAAGUUGGAUGUGAAAUCCCCGGGCUCAACCUGGGAACUGCAUUUAAAACUGACAAGCUAGAGUAUGGUAGAGGGUGGUGGAAUUUCCUGUGUAGCGGUGAAAUGCGUAGAUAUAGGAAGGAACACCAGUGGCGAAGGCGACCACCUGGACUGAUACUGACACUGAGGUGCGAAAGCGUGGGGAGCAAACAGGAUUAGAUACCCACGUAGUCCCUGAGCGGGCUGGCAAGGCGCAU
rnacentral:rRNA from 1 species